AAAUGAGAAGCAAUUUGCAUUUAAUUUCGACUUAAAAGAUAGGGUAUUAACCCCUCAUUUG
rnacentral:tRNA from 1 species